rnacentral:rRNA from 1 species
UACAGAGGAUGCAAGCGUUAUCCGGAAUGAUUGGGCGUAAAGCGUCUGUAGGUGGCUUUUUAAGUCCGCCGUCAAAUCCCAGGGCUCAACUCUGGACAGGCGGUGGAAACUACCAAGCUGGAGUACGGUAGGGGCAGAGGGAAUUCCCGGUGUAGCGGUGAAAUGCGUAGAGAUCGGGAGGAACACCAGUGGCGAAGGCGGCUACCUGGACCAGCACUGACACUGAGGCACGAAAGCGUGGGGAGCAAACAGG